rnacentral:RNase_P_RNA from 1 species
GCAAGUCAGACAAUCGCGUGUGCAGAUGCCGAAAGGCCGCACAUGAGGAAAGUCCGGGCUCCGCAGGGCAGGAUUGUGGGUAACGCCCACCGAAGGCGACUUCAGGGAUAGUGCAACAGAGAGAUACCGCCGGCUUUGGCCGGUAAGGGUGGAAAGGCGGGGUAAGAGCCCACCGGCGUCCAGGUGACUGGAUGGCCAUGUAAACCCAAUCCGGAGCAACACCGCAAGGAACGGUCCGCCCCGUGCGGGCAGCGCUUGCCCGGCGCAGGUUCAGGUAGGUGGCAUGAGCCGCAUGGCAACAGGCGGCCACAGAUAGAUGAUUGUCAAAUACAGAACCCGGCUUACAGAUUUGGUC